AGAUGGACGAUCUGGAAAAAUAUAGAUAUAGUAUGCAUUCAUACAUUCAUAUAUACAUACAUGAAUUCACAAAGUAGAUCAGUUGCGUUUUGUGAAGAAGGAACGAACAUAACGGUGAAAAGCGACGAUUUUCCUGGAAAAAUUUUCAACGCACGGAUCUUACUUGAUAGUAGUGCAAGGUGAUAGGAGUUUGGUAAAGUGAGAGAUGGGAAGAAACGAAACUGGCAGGUUGGUGUCGUACAUGCAAAGAGGAAACUGCUAAGACGUUUCUUGUAUCUACAUACAAACGAGAUCUCUGAUGGUAAGACUGCCUAAGGUUGACAGCUGUCUGAGAAUUUUCACUGCGACAACGACGACGAAGACGACGAAGACGACGAGAACGACGAUGACGACGACGACGGUGCUAUCUCCAUAGCUGGAUCAAUUUCCUGGAUCCUUUUCGAGUGAAACAUACCAGUUGAAGAAUAACCUAGCUACCUUGGUUACCCAAUUCGAGAAUAAACAAAGAAACGAAGGAAUGAACGAACGAACGAACGAAUGUUGCCAUUAGCGGUCGAGUGCAUUCGAGUUUGUGAAAAUGAGUAAGAGUCUGGUCUGGCAACGAGGGUCACUUAUCGUCGCGGACCAUCUGCGAGUAUCGUCCACAGUCAGCGUACUGUCGGUCUGAAGUAUGUGCCGACUUCAGUGCCAUCCGAUAAGACUUUUCGUAUCAGCGUACCAGAGAAAAAAAGUCUUUUCUUCUUCUUGUGGUCACGUUUACUUCUUCCUCUCCUUCCUUCUCUUUUAAUUUAU